rnacentral:rRNA from 1 species
AGGUGCGAUCAUACCAGCUUUAAUGCACCGUAUCCCAUCAAAGCUCCGCAGUUAAGCGCGCUUGGGCUAGAGUCG